AAUUUUUCUCAGAGCUUCUGGGGGCCUUGAGCGGCCCCAGAACCCAGCGUCAAAAAAUGUUCGCCUCUCUCCGCUCGGCGAAUAUAUUUUGCCUCACUAUUAGAAGAGGCUAGUUACGGCCCUGUCAUAUAACAUGAAAUUGAUAAGGUUACUCUAGCAUAAACGUACAAUUGUAACACACAAUUUAUCUUUCAAAACGGAAUCUUGUAUUCUGUUAUUAUUAAUCAUGGCUAGAUAGAAUUUCAUAUUUUAUUGGAUCAUUUGUACAAUACAUUAUUAGAAUACGUUUAAGAACCUAAUCUACAAUCAGAAGUGAAAGAUCGGAAAGAACCACUUCAAACUAUAGUUCUGUACAAGUAUCGGGAGGACACGUACGUAUUAACGCUUAGAAAGGUUGUCUUAAAAUAAAAAUACAUCUCAUGCAAUCACAUUUGGAGACUUAAAUUAUAUAUUCUUACAAAAAAAUUGUGGAAAGACCAAGUUUUAAUGUAAGUAAAGGGCGAAAUAAUUGUAUAAAGUAUACUGAUAUGAUGACGUUUCAGAGAUGGUCGUACACGAAGCGUUCCUUGCAUUUUGCUUAAGGUUAUCAAACUCAAUGAAUUUUUGAACUGUUGGGCUAACAGCAAAAUUUUCCCAUUUUGACAUCAGUCUUAAUAGAUAAGACAGUAGUGCAACAGCCUCACAUCAAAAUAUUUUCUUUGUUUUUUUUUAAAGAUUUUAAAGUUUUUCGAGUAAGGUCGAGUAAGGUUGUUGCUCAACACAAUGAAGCUGCAUUGACUCCGAUGUGUACAAGGUGUAUAAGUUAGUACGCAGACGUUUGUGACGUGUAUACAUAAGACUCGUCAGCAGAGC
rnacentral:lncRNA from 1 species